rnacentral:lncRNA from 13 species
UAUAUUUUAAAUAUAAUUCCAACUUACUGUUAAAAACAAAAAAGACUUAGAAAGAACAACAACCAAAAUAGAGAUGACUUGUGAUAUUUAUUUUAUUUGUCAACUUAACCAGGCUAAAAGAUGCCCAUAUCGAUGGUAGAACAUUAUUACUGAGUGUGUCAAUGAGUAUCCGUGGAAUAUAUUAGCAUUUGAAUCAAGAGACUGGGUAAUGGAGAUCACCAUUACCAAUGUGAGUGGGCAUUCCCCAAUCUACUGAGUCAUAACAGAACAAAAGGAAAACAACGUACAAAUUUGUUCUCUGUUUGAAUCAGGAUAUAUACUUUCUCCUAACCUCAGACAUCGGCAGUCUUGAUUGUCAGAACUUCAGACUCAGACUAAAUUUCCUGCUUCUGCAGCCGUCAGACAGAUUAUGGGAGUUCUUGGCCUCCAUAAUUAUCUUGAAAAUGGUUUUACAUGAAAGAUUUUCCUGAUCCACAUGAUCAUUGAGAAAAAUCCAAUAGGUGACUGACUGAUGCCGUGAAGGGCUAAUCAUCGCAAAAUAGUUCUACUACUUGUAUUUACCUAAAGAGGGAGCAAUGCAUGCUAUUCAGGGCCACAGGAGAAGCAUCUUUUCUUGGUUAAGGCAAGAGGUGAGUGAGGGAAAAACCUAGGACAGAGCCUGUAUUGGGGUAUCUG